ensembl:lncRNA
CACAUCACUACGUUCUAUUCUCUGUGUUCUACUUUCAGGACCACAGAGAUAGAGCAAAGCUAAGCUUUCCUAUGUGGCUGAAAGCAUUAGCUAUUUGCUUUUGCUUAGCUUUACUUGAAUUUCUAGCGAUGUCAUGGGACAAUUCAACUCCCAAAAUCUUGUUCCAGACGGAGCUCCGCACUUUCACACCAAGUGGAUGAGAACGACCGACGCAACGCAAGAUAAUCCGACGUCACUUCCGGUUGGGCCAAAUAACGGGAUCACCAUUUACAGAAAAUAGGUAGAAGGUGGAAAUUACAUAACAAAGGAAGAGGAACAUGAGCUACACUACAUUUUUAAAGCGAGUGAACCCUGAUUAUGGAUGACCCUUUGGCUUUCUCUCAGCUACGUGUUUUAAAGAAGUAUUUUUCCCUCAUCAUUUUAUCCCUCAUGAUAUUUUUCUAGCUUUCCACCACUUACUUCUUCAUACAGUUUACAAAAAUCCAAACAUGGAACUAAAAAAAAAAAAAAAAAACCAGUAUGACACACGUUCAAAUAGACAUUUAUAGAUAAUUUAUGCUAAUUCACGUUCUCCCUUCAUUCUUCCAUACUGCACUUACACACUUUUUGUUUACGUAUUUGUUCAUCUUUCUUGUAAAGUAGUUUUUUUGUGGUCUUCUGUUUGUAAUUCAUUGUCAUCAACACGUAUGUGUAUAAAAUACCAUAAAACUAUCAUAAAAAGAUCACACUAAUAUAAAUAAAUAAUGCCUUAUUGUGGAAAUUUGGUCAUCCCUUCCUGGAUUACUUCAUAUGUUAGUGUUUUUCAUUAAAUGUCAAACCCAUAAAACAUUUUAAUAAGUAUUUAUAAUAAAUAUUUAUCCUUCUUAUUUAUCCUUCUAGUCUAUUUACUUUUAAUACUGUUAAUUGUGGUGUUUCAGUAUCACUUUUUCAGAAUUUUUUCACAAAAACAUAUGAUAAUUAUAUGCUUUGCGUUUAAAUAUUCUUAACCAAACUGAUCAAAGUGUGGUUGCUAAAAAGUCCAGGGUGCCAAUAAGUUAGCUCAUGACUCAUAACUCGGACAGAGCUUAUUUUGGUCCUAAUGUUAGUAAGUGAAUUCCACAGGUGGAGGAAAUGCACUAAUUGCUGUUAAGUGAAGGCGGUGCAGUGCAAACAGCCACUUCCUGUUUAGGCUUCUCUUAAUCUCUAGACCUGUGCUGCACUGUACACUCAGAUCUAAUGCAACAUUCCAGUUAUUACUCUCGAAAUCUGUGCUAUAAUUCUAGAACCCCAUGAUUUUAACUCAUUAGUCUAGAACUCUAUAGUGUUUGCCUAGAGUUUCACAAUUAGGGUUACUUCAGAAUUUUACAGUUUGUCUUUCUAAAUCUCUACUAUUGUAGAUCUAAAUUAUUUAGCUUGUUACCCUAGAACCUUUUUGUGUUUUUAGCCUAAUCUAGUUUUGAGUCUGGAAGUCUAGAAAUUAUUAUUCUAGAAUUCUGAGUUGUCCUUCAAGAAUUUCAUGUUUGUUUGUGGUUUUUUGUUCGUUUGUUAUUUGUUAUUAUCUGUUAUUGUUGUUAUUAAAGAACCCAAUCAUUCACAUGGAUAUUCGAGAACUCUAUUUAUAGUUUAAAAAUGUAAGAAUUUCAGUUGUUUUUCUAUAAUUCUGCAUUUUUUCAGAAUUGGUUUUUGUAAAUCAAAAACUCUUCUUUAUUCAAGAACUGUGGUUUUGUUCUAUUUGAUUUCUAUUAUGCAAGUCAGUAUUUGAGUGUCCAUAAUUGACAAUUAACAAAACAAGUUUUAAAAAACAAGCAUCUAUUUGAUAUGCUAGAUUUCUGUGUUUACUCUAGAGCUGUGUGUUGAUAUUCUAAAUGUUCUUUAUUUUCUAUUAUAACAUUCUCUACUGUUUUUCUAGAACUCAUCAAGUGAAGUUAUUCUAAAAUUGUGCUAUUCCAAAACUCUCAUUUGUUAUACCAUGAUUCCAGAGUUUGAGAAUUGUCACUGAGAUUUUGUUUGGUAAAUUUCAAUUUGUGUGAUCUAAGUUAUUAGAAAAUUAUCUAUUGUUAUUCUAGAACAAAAUACUUCAAGUUUAUAUUCCACAAUCCUGUCUUGUUUUUCUUAGAAGUCUGUGAUUUUAAUUUCUUUUCUAGCUCCCUGUGUUAUUCUAGAAACUCAAACAUACAGUAAUUUGAUUUGUUACUCUAGAACUCUGCAAUGCUUUUCUAGACAUCCGUAAUCUGAGGUGUUUGAUUUGUUAUUACAGAUGGAUAGAGUCAGGACUUUACUGAGAAUCUAAAACUCUAGUUUUAUUGGAGCCUGAAAUACCAAUAAUCUAGAAUUCCAAUUUAUUGAUGUACAAAAUUUCCUGACAGUCUAGAGUUGUGUACGAGUGGAGGCAUAUUUUAAGUGUGACUCUAGAACCCAGGUUUUUUUUAACUGAAAUAAACUCUGUCUAGAACUCAUUUGGUUACUUAGAAUCUAGAACCCAGUGUGAUUAGAGUCAGGAUUUUACUGAGAAUCUGGCACUCUUGAUUGAUUGGACUCAUUAUCUAGAAGUCUAAAUAAUUAUUGGACUCGGAAUUUUAAUAAGAAUCUAGAAGUCAAUUUAGUUAUUAUUCCAUUUAAAGUUUCCUGAUGGUCUAGAGCUGUACAAGAUUGGCAUCACAGUUUAAGUGACACUCUAGAACUCUGUUUGUGUUCUAUUGAAAUAGACUCUGUCUAGAAUUCAAUCUGAUAAGAGUUGAACUCAGAAACUUACUGAGAAACUGUUGUUUGUCCAGUAAUUCUACAGUAGAUAUUUUUACGUUCUUCUGAAGAGUUCUUGAUACAGGUAACCAUUGAUGUAUUGUCCGUUAUAGGACGAUGAUAUUUUUAUGUUGUUGUGUGUUUUGUAGUUAAAGUAGCCAGCAGCAAUGGAGCAGGAAUCUGGACCGUGAGGCCGCCAGUUUUAGUGUGUUUGUAAAAUACAGAGGUGUGUGAAUGAUUCUCUAACAGAUAUCAGUGAAGUAGUGGACGUAGACGAACCUGAGGAGCCUAACGUGGAGUACACGGAAGUGCUGCAUCCGCAAGCUACUGACCCCACACGAGGUAAACCACAUUUUUUAUUUAUUAAUAAUUCUGCCAGGGAAGGUCAAAAUUAUUUGACAUAUGCAUUAGCUAUGAAGCAGAAAGUUUUUGUCAUCCAAAUCUCACCAACAAAUUCGAAAGUCAAACACACAACAUGGAAAAAUUACUUAAAUGUGAAAGAACAUCGGAACAUCACUGUCAGAAUUAUUCUUAUUCUUAUUAUUGUUACUGAUUUAGUAAACUGUAUAUGAACAGAUGUACUCAUAAAUCUUUUUUACAGGAGCCUUUACACAAGAAAUUUGUGAAAAAUCCAGUUAGAUCGGGAAAAACGUUUGUGUCCUACAGUUCACUCUUAAGUUGCUAAUUGUCUUUUAUGUACAGACCACACUGGCAGGUUUACACACCAAUUUAAUGAACGUUUUGUCAAAAUCAAGUCUCUUCAUUUUAAUGACUUGAAAGAAAGCGAUUCCGAAACAAAUCCGUAAGUUAAGACAAAUGAAACUAGCUGUUCAAUUAGGGUAAAAGUAAUGGCACAUAAGAGGAUGACGAGUUUUUGGUUAGAAUGUUUCUGAGGUGCUUUUUUCACCUUUUAGUUGCCAUUUUGUCAUUUUCAGCUCACUGUGAGCUUUGCCUUUUAUGGAAUUGUGUGGGCGUGGCUAAAUAUAAAUCGGCUGUGCCUUGAACACUGAUUGGCAUUCAUCAAAAUACCCAUAUGAGUACGAAGAAAAUCAAAAUUUUGUAAGUAAAAAUACUAAAAGAUUGAUACAUGAUGUCCAUUAUACUAUGCAGUGCAUUUAGGUGUAAUUACAUAAUAACGUGUAGCUGCUGAUGUUCUCUUAGCAGCAUUAAUAGCAGUGUAUCUCUUGUCUGAUUUAUUGCAGCUGCCGGGAGUUUUAAUCUCAUAAUAUGCGAAACUUUGUUCAAAAUGUUUGUGUUUCUUUCAGUAGUGUUAUUAAAAAUGAGUUACUCAUCAUUGUGAUGAUGAAAUGAAUUCUCUUGGUGUCAUUGGUUCUUCAGUUCAAGCCCAGAAGCAUUUUGUUACUGAGUGGAACUAUUUUUUCCAGCUGUGAGGAAAAUUCCCAAAACCAGCUCGAGUGCCAUUUCCACUCACAUCUCUUUUUUUCUCUCUUCUCCAUUCUUCAUUGCUACCCACCAUCUUUCCUCUCUGUCUAGUUUUCAUGUACUUCAGAUGAAAUACAGAUAUUUGCCUCCUUCUCUUUCUCUAAACCCUUUGAACGUUUAGUCAUCCCGCUCUCGAUCUCUGAUAAGACUAAAUCCGCUUCCUGCGAGGUCCUGGAUGCUCUUAUACUCUCAUUUUAUAAAGGGUUUGGUCUUUUUUUUUUUUUUUUUUUAUAAUAGUGCCAU